GUAGGGAAUCUUCCGCAAUGGACGCAAGUCUGACGGAGCAACGCCGCGUGAGUGACGAAGGUUUUCGGAUCGUAAAACUCUGUUGUGAGGGAAGAACACGUACCAACUAACUAUUGGUACCUUGACGGUACCUCACCAGAAAGCCACGGCUAACUACGUGCCAGCAGCCGCGGUAAUACGUAGGUGGCAAGCGUUGUCCGGAAUUAUUGGGCGUAAAGCGCGCGCAGGCGGUUCCUUAAGUCUGAUGUGAAAGCACACGGCCCAACCGUGGAGGGUCAUUGGAAACUGGGGAACUUGAGUGCAGAAGAGGAAAGUGGAAUUCCACGUGUAGCGGUGAAAUGCGUAGAGAUGUGGAGGAACACCAGUGGCGAAGGCGACUUUCUGGUCUGUAACUGACGCUGAGGCGCGAAAGCGUGGGGAGCAAACAGGAUUAGAUACCCUGGUAGUCC
rnacentral:rRNA from 1 species